CAGUGUGCAGGCCCGUGGGAGGUUCUCCAGGGAACCUUGGCUGUCUCAGUGCGUCGGUGCAGAAGGAGGUGGCGCCUGGGUGCAGAAGGAGAUGGCGCGUCGGUGCAGAAGGAGGUGGCGUGUCGGUGCAGAAGGAGAUGGGCUUCGCCCUGCAAGGAGGAAGGCUGAAUUGGACCCUGGCCUCCUGAGAGCAUGCUGGAUACUGUGGUGAAAUGCAUUUUGAAGCAAAGGCAGGAUUUCAUCAGCUGAGCUUCCUUCCUGGUGAUGUCACUCGGCCGCCUAGGACCAGCAGCUGUCACUUUCUACCUCCUCACUACCCACCAGCAGCAUCGUGUUGUCAGGGUAGGCUUCAGAAGGGGAAGGGAACUUGCCUUUAAUUAAAAGAUACCCACCUUGCAAGUUCAGUAUAAUAAACACUGCAUGAUCCCAGAGUGUGUGUCUAUGAAGACAUCUUAAACUCUGUGUGCCCAUAUUACCUGCACUCACACCUGAAAUCACCCAAGUGAGAAAAUUCCAAAAUCCAAGGCAGGAUUCCCCAUCAGACACAAUGGCCCUGCGGGACA
rnacentral:lncRNA from 10 species